rnacentral:rRNA from 1 species
GAUGAACGCUGGCGGCGUGCCUAAUACAUGCAAGUCGAGCGAACAGACGAGGAGCUUGCUCCUCUGACGUUAGCGGCGGACGGGUGAGUAACACGUGGAUAACCUACCUAUAAGACUGGGAUAACUUCGGGAAACCGGAGCUAAUACCGGAUAAUAUAUUGAACCGCAUGGUUCAAUAGUGAAAGACGGUUUUGCUGUCACUUAUAGAUUGAUCCGCGCCGCAUUAGCUAGUUGGUAAGGUAACGGCUUACCAAGGCAACGAUGCGUAGCCGACCUGAGAGGGUGAUCGGCCACACUGGAACUGAGACACGGUCCAGACUCCUACGGGAGGCAGCAGUAGGGAAUCUUCCGCAAUGGGCGAAAGCCUGAAGGAGCAACGCCGCGUGAGUGAUGAAGGUCUUCGGAUCGUAAAACUCUGUUAUUAGGGAAGAACAAAUGUGUAAGUAACUAUGCACGUCUUGACGGUACCUAAUCAGAAAGCCACGGCUAACUACGUG